rnacentral:rRNA from 1 species
AGUGAACGCUGGCGGUAGGCCUAACACAUGCAAGUCGAACGGCAGCACAGUAAGAGCUUGCUCUUACGGGUGGCGAGUGGCGGACGGGUGAGGAAUACAUCGGAAUCUACUUUUUCGUGGGGGAUAACGUAGGGAAACUUACGCUAAUACCGCAUACUACCUACGGGUGAAAGCAGGGGAUCUUCGGACCUUUCGCGAUUGAAUGAGCCGAUGUCGGAUUAGCUAGUUGGCGGGGUAAAGGCACACCAAGGCGACGAUCCGUAGCUGGCCUGAGAGGAUGAUCAGCCACACUGGAACUGAGACACGGUCCAGACUCCUACGGGAGGCAGCAGUGGGGAAUAUUGGACAAUGGGCGCAAGCCUGAUCCAGCCAUACCGCGUGGGUGAAGAAGGCCUUCGGGUUGUAAAGCCCUUUUGUUGGGAAAGAAAAGCAGCAGGUUAAUACCCCGCUGUUCUGACGGUACCCAAAGAAUAAGCACCGGCUAACUUCGUG